rnacentral:rRNA from 1 species
CCUACGGGAGGCAGCAGUAGGGAAUUUUCGGCAAUGGGGGCACCCUGACCGAGCAACGCCGCGUGAACGAAGAAGGUAUUCGUAAUGUAAAGUUCUUUUAACAGGGGAGAAAGAGAAAUCUGACGGUACCUGAAGAAUAAGCUCUGGCUAAGUACGAGCAAGCAAGCGCGGUAAUACGUGGGGAGCGAGCGUUAUCCGAAAUUAUUGGGAGAAAAGGGUGGGUAGAUGGCAUAGUAAGUCUUUUGUAAAAAUGCUGGGCUCAACCCAGUAGGGCAAAAGAUACUGCAAUGCUAGAGUAGCACAAAGGCAAGUGGAACUACAAGUGUAGCGGUGAAAUGCGUAAAUAUAUGUAAGAACACCAGUGGCGAAGGCGGCUUGCUGGAUCAAUACUGACGGUGAGGCGCGAAAGCGUGGGGAGCAAACAGGAUUAGAUACCCGAGUAGUC